rnacentral:rRNA from 1 species
CAUACGGUCUCGACCAAAUCUUGUGCCAGCAGUCGCGGUAAGACAAGGGAGACGAGUGUUAUUCAUCUUUAACAGGUAUAUAGGGUACCUAGACGGUGUGCAAUGGCUUAAAUAAGUACCUGGUACACUUGAGUUUGAUAUGUGAGAGGAAUAUGUCGGAGUUGUUGGAGGAAAGAUGAAAUUUGUUAAUACCAAUAGGACUGAUAACGGC